rnacentral:rRNA from 1 species
UUGAACGCUGGCGGCAUGCCUUACACAUGCAAGUCGAACGGCAGCGGGCCCUUCGGGGUGCCGGCGAGUGGCGAACGGGUGAGUAAUGCAUCGGAACGUACCCGGGAGAGGGGGAUAACCGGCCGAAAGGCUGGCUAAUACCGCAUGAACUCGGAAGAGCAAAGCGGGGGACCUUCGGGCCUCGCGCCCUCGGAGCGGCCGAUGGCCGAUUAGGCUAGUUGGUGGGGUAAAGGCCCACCAAGGCGACGAUCGGUAGCGGGUCGGAGGGGACGGUCCGCCACCCGGGGAUGGGGAACCGGCCCAGACCCCUAAGGGAGGCAGAAGGGGGAAUCUUGGACAAUGGGCGCAAGCCUGAUCCAGCAAUGCCGCGUGGGUGAAGAAGGCCUUCGGGUUGUAAAGCCCUUUCGGCGGGGAAGAAAUCGGUCAGGCGAAUAGUCUGGCCGGAUGACGGUACCCGCAGAAGAAGCACCGGCUAACUACGUG